GGCAAGGGCAGAAAAUGGAGAUGCUCUGGAGUUAUCAAUUUUUUUAAAUACAGUUUAAGCACAUAGCUUCUGUUGCCAUCACUGGGAAGACAUCAGUCAGAUAACCCUGGCAGAGGAGGAAGCUGCUUCUCAGAGCACAGACAAAGCCCUGUGAAAGGAUGUCCUAAUGCUCCUCGGAGGAACAAGGCUGUGUGAAGGAACUACGGAUUCUCUUUACUGUGAUACCUUGGAAGAAGACACCAGAGAAAAAACACUCAGCCAAGGGUUUCCCUGUUGGUGAAGAAAAUCACACCUGAAGCACAAAGUGACCUAUUCUAUAUGAAGUCAGAAAGAGCAAAACCUCGGAUUUGAAAAACUCUGGAGUUUUGUGGAAUGUUUGAUACUGAUCUGACACGUGUGACUCAAGCCUUUGUGGCCCAUUGUAUGUUGGGGUGUUUUUUUGAUGAAGAAAAUAACCAAUAAAUCCAGGUCUGAAUGGUCAUGAUCCCUGGAAGUCUAUGCAUUAAAAUACAAUCAA